AUUGAACGCUGGCGGCAUGCCUUACACAUGCAAGUCGAACGGUAACAGGUUAAGCUGACGCGUGGCGAACGGGCGAGUAAUGUAUCGGAAAGUGGCCAGUCGUGUGCGAUAACUGCUCGAAAGAGCAGGGAAUACCGCAUACGACCUGAGGGUGAAAGCGGGGGAGCGCAAGACAAUGCGCAAUUGGAGCGGUCGAGAUCAGAUUAGGUAGUUGGUGAGGUAAAGGCUCACCAAGCCGACGAUCGGUAGCUGGUCUGAGAGGACGACCAGCCACACUGGGACUGAGACACGGCCCAGACUCCUACGGGAGGCAGCAGUGGGGAAUUUUGGACAAUGGGCGCAAGCCUGAUCCAGCCAUGCCGCGUGCGUGAAGAAGGCCUUCGGGUUGUAAACCGCUUUUGUCAGGGAAGAAAAGGUUCUGGCUAAUACCUGGGACUCAUGACGGUACCUGAAGAAUAAGCACCGGCUAACUACGUG
rnacentral:rRNA from 1 species